GCAAGUCGUACGCUUCUUUUUCCCCGGAGCUUGCUCCACCGGAAAAAGAAGAGUGGCGAACGGGUGAGUAACACGUGGGUAACCUGCCCAUCAGAAGGGGAUAACACUUGGAAACAGGUGCUAAUACCGUAUAACAAUCGAAACCGCAUGGUUUUGAUUUGAAAGGCGCUUUCGGGUGUCGCUGAUGGAUGGACCCGCGGUGCAUUAGCUAGUUGGUGAGGUAACGGCUCACCAAGGCCACGAUGCAUAGCCGACCUGAGAGGGUGAUCGGCCACAUUGGGACUGAGACACGGCCCAAACUCCUACGGGAGGCAGCAGUAGGGAAUCUUCGGCAAUGGACGAAAGUCUGACCGAGCAACGCCGCGUGAGUGAAGAAGGUUUUCGGAUCGUAAAACUCUGUUGUUAGAGAAGAACAAGGAUGAGAGUAACUGUUCAUCCCUUGACGGUAUCUAACCAGAAAGCCACGGCUAACUACGUGCCAGCAGCCGCGGUAAUACGUAGGUGGCAAGCGUUGUCCGGAUUUAUUGGGCGUAAAGCGAGCGCAGGCGGUUUCUUAAGUCUGAUGUGAAAGCCCCCGGCUCAACCGGGGAGGGUCAUUGGAAACUGGGAGACUUGAGUGCAGAAGAGGAGAGUGGAAUUCCAUGUGUAGCGGUGAAAUGCGUAGAUAUAUGGAGGAACACCAGUGGCGAAGGCGGCUCUCUGGUCUGUAACUGACGCUGAGGCUCGAAAGCGUGGGGAGCAAACAGGAUUAGAUACCCUGGUAGUCCACGCCGUAAACGAUGAGUGCUAAGUGUUGGAGGGUUUCCGCCCUUCAGUGCUGCAGCUAACGCAUUAAGCACUCCGCCUGGGGAGUACGACCGCAAGGUUGAAACUCAAAGGAAUUGACGGGGGCCCGCACAAGCGGUGGAGCAUGUGGUUUAAUUCGAAGCAACGCGAAGAACCUUACCAGGUCUUGACAUCCUUUGACCACUCUAGAGAUAGAGCUUCCCCUUCGGGGGCAAAGUGACAGGUGGUGCAUGGUUGUCGUCAGCUCGUGUCGUGAGAUGUUGGGUUAAGUCCCGCAACGAGCGCAACCCUUAUUGUUAGUUGCCAUCAUUCAGUUGGGCACUCUAGCAAGACUGCCGGUGACAAACCGGAGGAAGGUGGGGAUGACGUCAAAUCAUCAUGCCCCUUAUGACCUGGGCUACACACGUGCUACAAUGGGAAGUACAACGAGUCGCGAAGUCGCGAGGCUAAGCUAAUCUCUUAAAGCUUCUCUCAGUUCGGAUUGUAGGCUGCAACUCGCCUACAUGAAGCCGGAAUCGCUAGUAAUCGCGGAUCAGCACGCCGCGGUGAAUACGUUCCCGGGCCUUGUACACACCGCCCGUCACACCACGAGAGUUUGUAACACCCGAAGUCGGUGAGGUAACCUUUGAGCCA
rnacentral:rRNA from 1 species